rnacentral:rRNA from 1 species
GAUGAACGCUGGCGGCGUGCCUAAUACAUGCAAGUCGAGCGAACGGACGAGAAUCUUGCUUCGCUGAUGUUAGCGGCGGACGGGUAAGUAACACGUGGAUUACCUACCUAUAAGACUGGGAUAACGUCGAGAAGCCGGAGCUAAUACCGUAUGAUCUUUUGUACCGCAUGGUUCAAAAGUGAAAGACCGUCUUGCGUUCACGUAUAGAUGGAUCCGCGCUUCAUUAGCUAGUUGGUAAGGUAACGGCUUACCAAGGCAACGAUGCAUAGCCGACCUGAGAGGAUGAUCGGCCACACUGGAACUGAGACACGGUCCAGACUCCUACGGGAGGCAGCAGUAGGGAAUCUUCCGCAAUGGGCGAAAGCCUGACGGAGCAACGCCGCGUGAGUGAUGAAGGUCUUCGGAUCGUAAAACUCUGUUAGUAGGGAAGAAGAUAUGUGUAAGUAAAUGUGCACAUAUUGACGGUACCUAAUCAGAAAGCCCCGGCUAACUACGUG